rnacentral:lncRNA from 1 species
AUGAAUACUAGAAGAAGGAAUGCUACUGCUGAUCCAGUUCCUGCCAAUUCAAACAUCAAUGUCCUCAGUACUCCAGUGUUAUUACAGUACCUGACCGGCAGUUGGGGCAUUAGAGCCAGCUCUAAUGCCCCAACUGCUGUCGCAGAAGUGGCCAUGCUAAAAAAGCUUCUGGAAGCUGAGAAGGAGAAGAAUCUUCUUAAAGAUGAAACUAUUGCCAUUCUUAAAGCUGACAAAGUGUUCCUGCAGGAGUGGCUGGAAAAGAAGGAGACCUCUCUCCAGGAACUCAUGAGAAAGCCCGAAGCAUCUAGUUCAGUGAGAGACUCCAAAGGCAUCGUGGCGAGGUACCGUAUGGCACUUAAAGCCUUCCAAGAAGGACAUUCGAUGAAGACCGCUUUUGACUCUCUGGGAGUUGAUCAGUGCACAAUUGCACGGACAGCUCCCAUUGCAGAGCUGAAAAUCUCAGCGCCGGAUGUGUUCAAAGAGGUUCGUCCAUGGGACCAGAGGUCCGAAAAGCUGUCUGCUUUUGUGGAGAGAUGCCGCACUGUGAUGACAGACGAGGUAAGAGACCGCAUCAAGAAGUUUAAGGCAGAUGACGAGCUCUUACCUUUUGCUUCCAAGUAG